GGCCGGUUAGCUCAGUCAGUUGAGCGUGGUGCUAACAAUGCCACGGUCACGAGUUCGAUUCCCGUUCGGUCC
rnacentral:tRNA from 1 species